rnacentral:rRNA from 1 species
GGAGUCUGGUCCGUGUCUCAGUACCAGUGUGGGGGACCUUCCUCUCAGAACCCCUAAGGAUCGAUGGCUCGGUGGGCCGUCACCCCGCCGACUACCUAAUCCUACGCAUGCCCAUCCGCGGCCGGAACCAACCUUUAACAAAUAUCCCCAUGCGGGGCCCCUGUAUCAUGGGGUAUUAAUCCGACUUUCGCCGGGCUAUUCCCCUCGCCGCGGGAAGGUUGCAUACGCGUUACUCACCCGUCGCGCCGGUCGCCAUCGGGGGUAGUUGCUACCCCCACUGAUGCCCCUCCGACUUGCAUGUGUUAAGCCUGUCGCUAGCGUUCAUC